UACGGGGGGGGGCAAGCGUUGUUCGGAAUUACUGGGCGUAAAGGGCUCGUAGGCGGCCAACUAAGUCAGACGUGAAAUCCCUCGGCUUAACCGGGGAACUGCGUCUGAUACUGGAUGGCUGGAGGUUGGGAGAGGGAUGCGGAAUUCCAGGUGUAGCGGUGAAAUGCGUAGAUAUCUGGAGGAACACCGGUGGCGAAGGCGGCAUCCUGGACCAAUUCUGACGCUGGAGACGCGAAAGCUAGGGGAGCGAACAGG
rnacentral:rRNA from 1 species